rnacentral:rRNA from 1 species
UGGGGGAUAUUGCACAAUGGGCGAAAGCCUGAUGCAGCGACGCCGCGUGGGGGAUGAAGGCCUUCGGGUUGUAAACUUCUUUUGCUCUGAACAAGGCGCACCAUGGGGUGUGUUGAGUGUAGGGGUUGAUUAGCGCCGGCUAACUACGUGCCAGCAGCCGCGGUAAUACGUAGGGCGCGAGCGUUGUCCGGAAUUAUUGGGCGUAAAGGGCUUGUAGGUGGCUGGUUGCGUCUGUCGUGAAAGCUCAUGGCAUAACUGUGGGUUUGCGGUGGGUACGGGCUGGCUUGAGUGCAGUAGGGGAGGCUGGAAUUCCUGGUGUAGCGGUGGAAUGCGCAGAUAUCAGGAGGAAUACCGGUGGCGAAGGCGGGUCUCUGGGCUGUUACUGACACUGAGGAGCGAAAGCAUGGGGAGCGAACAGG